AGGACUCGGCCGCGGCCCGAGCAGUCGCUGGUCCGGUGGGCCACUCCGCAGCUGCACGACAUUGACGCGCUGGACCAGAUGGUCGACCCCGCGCUGCAGGGCCUGUACCCGUCGAAGUCCCUCUCCCGCUUCGCCGAUGCUAUCGCCCUGUGUGUUCAGGUGAAAAUCGCCUUCAGUUCGUGCAGCUUUCACAUUGCCCUUGCCCCAGAUGUAAAACAUUUCCGACGCUGCUGAAAUGCUGCUGAUGCUUGUUCUGCUACCUCGACGCAGCCCGAGCCGGAGUUCCGGCCGCCGAUGUCGGAGGUCGUGCAGUCGCUGGUGCGGCUCGUGCAGAGGGCCAACAUGACGAGGACGCACGAGAGCCACUCGCGGCGCCACGGCGAGUCCGGCGGGGACUACGAGUUUUAAGCGAGCUAGACCGAGCUGUGAAUAAAACACAGUACGAAUUGAAAACAAAUCAAAACGUGUUCGGAGAACUUUCUUUGCCGCUCGUGUUUCAGCGGCGGCUGUGUAAAUCCCGUGAUGUUUUUGUUUCAGAACACACUUCGCCGCCUACUGCUUCGCGUUGAUCGCAGUCGAAGGAAAAAAGAGAUCGAACUGCGUCGUCCUGGUAUUGGCUGUCAUGCGGUAAUUCGGGGAGAGCUGCGCAC
rnacentral:lncRNA from 1 species